CCUGGUGGUUUUGGCGGGGGUUCCCCACCCGAUCCCAUUUCGAACUCGGUCGUUAAGUCCCCCAGCGUCGAUGGUACUGUAUCUUAAGAUACGGGAGAGUAGAUCGCUGCCAGGU
rnacentral:rRNA from 1 species